rnacentral:rRNA from 1 species
CUAGCCGUCGAAGGUGGGACAGAUGAUUGGGGUGAAGUCGUAACAAGGUAGCCGUAUCGGAAGGUGCGGCUGGAUCACCUCCUUUCUAAGGA